GGAACAAUGGUGUAGUUGGUCAUCACCGCGUCUGUUUAGUGGCACACACAGAACAUCCCCAGUUCGAACCUGGGUUGAUCCG